CACUGUGUUGGAAGACAGGUGAAGGUGCACCAGACUGAGCAGUGAAGGAUGUAGAGAAUGGCUGCCCAGCAAUAUUAUCUUGAA